rnacentral:rRNA from 1 species
UACGAAGGGGGCUAGCGUUAUCCGGAUUCAUUGGGUUUAAAGGGAGCGUAGGUGGCCUUAUAAGUCAGUGGUGAAAUCUCUGGGCUUAACCCAGAAAUUGCCAUUGAUACUGUAGGGCUUGAGUAUAGAUGCCGUUGGCGGAAUAUGACAUGUAGUGGUGAAAUACAUAGAGAUGUCAUAGAACACCGAUUGCGAAGGCAGCUAACGAAACUAUAACUGACACUGAGGCUCGAAAGCCAGGGGAGCAAACGGG